UACCGUCAUGCCCUUUGGUGGCGAUUCCUCUUGAACCGCUGGAAUCCCUUUGGGUGCGAAAUCUGGGCUUUGGGAAUUUUGCCGGUUAAUUGGGUCUUUUUUUUUUCUCGACAACCUGAACUACUGAUGGUUAGGUUGAGUGUUGUAUUCUUCAAUUGAAACAGAUAACAAACAGGUGUGUUGAACCAUCGUGUUGUUUCAUGGUGCUUCUUUGCGACAAGUUUAAUGAUAAACUCAGGUUCCGCCUUUUAUAAGUUAUAGCCAUUGAAAUUUGACUUCUAUGUGUCUUUUUUUGUAAUCUUAUUCAAAAGUAACUGAACACACAUUAGGAAAGAGGGAAUUAAUCUCUUUGACAAGUCUAGACUCUAGGUCAUCAAAAGUAUGGAUGAUCAUAUGUGAAACAUCAUCAGCUGCCUGAGGAGUUUCCAUGAGGAACUUAGACGAAGGAUCAUUUGGUUUUGUGUGUCGUCAGGUAGAUCUCGAAAACAGAUUCCUUCCAUUCAAGGAAUCCAAUAAAUUUCCAUGUCAAGAUACCCACCUAUUAAAUCAUUUUCAUCGCCAUUGGGGUGAUAGCCUAGUGGUCAGGGAGUUUUCCACUUUGUGGUUCCUUUCUAGGGGGUCAAGGGUUUGAAUCCUGCCACAUGCAAUUGUGGUGAAGGGGCCUUAGCAACGCUAUACCCAUCUACACAUGGGAGAGCAAACCCUUUAGGGCGUUGCCAGGGUUCGAACCCAGUGUGGGCGCACCAAAGUUGGGGGUGUUAUCCAUUUAUCCGCUAGUGUUUAAAAAAAAAUUUCAAUUUCAUCUGCAAAAAUAUUGCUAGGUUGUUACUUUUGUUUCUUUGUUAUGAAAAACAAAUAUUUCACACAUAUCACCACAUAUUUACACGCGUGUCUCCAACAAGAAAUCCUCUUGGGUGUAGGGUUACCUUGAAUACUACUAGGCCUUUUGUUUCUAGAUCGAUUAAUUACAAUAUAAUGAUUUGUGCUUUAGGAAACUAGGACUAUGACAGGCCUGACCUUCAACCGGGACAAGUCCUUUCUCCAUCAGAACAUUCACUAGGUAAAAGCCCAUGAACCCACAAGCAGCCAUGGUCCAAAAGGAUGAUAGGGACUUUGAACAUCUCAAAAGCGUUAAUCACAUUUGUGUAAGUCAUGAAAGCAUCCAAGAUGAUACAAGUGACUGGAGUUCAAGUGUAGAUACAAGAUCAAUCAAGGAAUUAUGAAAAGUAGUUCCAAGGUGGCUCCAAAGUUCUUCAAUUGGUUGAGUAUAUUCAACAUCAUCAUCCGUAGCAGCAGGACGACCAUUAGAACUGUUUUGAACUGAAAUUCUGUAGCUUGGGCAAGGAAGCUAGUCCCUCCGAACUUGAGGGGUCGUUUAUGGUUGGACUGGAUGUUGAUAAAGGUUAUUUGGAAUGCCUUGUGGUGUAGUAGUUUUAGCUUGAGCAUACACUUGACGUGGCUUUGUGCUGGAUACAGAACGAAUAGUACAUGAGGCUGCUUCUGAUUAGUCAUGGGCACUGCAUGCAUCCAUCUGACGAGUGAGUGUUGCUUCGUCUCGUUUGGGUGCAAUAGCUCUAUCAAGCUUUCUUUUAUAAUGUUUAUAAUAUCAAAGUCGUAGAAAAUCUUAUUAUGGAGAAGUGCUUGAAAUUAGAUUAAACUUGUCGAUCGAUCUUCCUUGUAUUCUUUAUAUGAAACUUAUAAUACAUUGUUAUUGUAUGUGUCUAAUUAUCUUAUAAUUCUGCUUGUGAAUAAGGUAUGUGGAAAUUCUAACAAAAAUCACAAUUUGUAAACCGUCUAAAUUGUUGAUUUAUUUGUAUGAUUCUAUCAGUUAGCAGACUAGGAGAAUAUUAAAUAAAUUGUGUAAAAUUAAGAGAAAAAAAAAGUAACAGAGCAUGCCCUUGUUUAAAAGUUCUAUAGAUUGUUAAAGCUACCACUAGUCUUGCCCGUUGCAACAACAACAGUUGAGAGAUGCUUUUCUGCAAUGAAGCUUGUGAAGUCAGAUUUGUGCAACCGAAUUGGUGAUGAGUUUUUGAACUCUUGUGUAAUUUGUACCAUAGAAAAAGAAGUACUUGCUAGUGUUAAAAUUGAAGAUGUAAUGGCUCGAUUCCACAAGUUGGGGAAACGUUGAGGCAAAUUCUAGGAAGUUAACUUGGUUCUCAUGGUUUAAGUUCUAGCUUAUUGAUCAUGGUUUAAUGAAGUUGAUCAUUUUGGUUUUUCUUUAGUUAGUUUUUUUUUUAUCGUUUUAAUACUGUUUUGUUUGCUUUUUUGGGGGUUCUUUGAAGGCUCUUUGGGAGCUGUUUGUAAGCUGUUUUAACUGCUGAUAGGGGGGUUGUUUGAAGGCCGUUUGGAGGAUGUAUUUAAGCUGUUUUAACUGCUCUUUGGAGCGCUCUUUGCCUGCUGUUUGAAUGCUGUUUUCUGCAGAUUUUCAUGGCUAUAUUGAGAUAUGGAGAUCUUUUUGAGGCCAAUGUUGCUGUUGUUUUGAAGCUAUGUUGUUGUUUUCGUUGCUCACAAGUCACAAGUCACCAAGGCAAAAUUAAACUCAGUGUCAUGCUUCUUUAUAUACCCAACUCCAAAUCUAGAAGUACUUAUAUAUGUGGGAAGGAUGAAUACAAUAUUAUUGUUGUGGGUAAGAAAUUGUGGGAAAGACGUAAUGAAAGCUGACGUGGCAUAAGAAUUAGGCUGUUUGUGGGACGGACGACAUCAACUGAUGCGGGUAGUCUUACAACAUGUUGAUUUGUGCUUUCGGAAAUUAAGGACUAUGAAAAGCCUAACCUUCUAUCGGGACAAGUCUUUUCCCCAUCAGAACCUUCACUUGGUAAAUCCCCAUGAACCCACAUGGGACCAUGGUCUAGAAAAGGACGAUAGGGACUUUGAACAUCUCGGCAGUGUUAAUCACAUUCGUGUAAGUGAUGAAAGUAUCCAAGAUGAUACAAGUUACUGGAGUUUCGAGUGCAGAUACAAGAUCAAUCAAGGAAUCAUGAAUUAGUUCCAAGCAGGAAGACCAUCAGGAACUGUUUUGAACUGAAAAUCUGAAGCUAGGGCAAGGAAGCUAGUCCAUCCGAAUUUCAGGAGUCGUUUAUGGUUGGACUGGAUGUUGAUAAAGGUUAUCUCCAAUCCCUUGUGGUGUAGUAGUUUGGCUUGCUUAAUUAAGCACACACUUGACGUUGGGCCACAACCAAAAAUUGAGGAAGCCCCAGGCCCAUGAUCCACAAGUUCUAAAUUCCUAAAUUUUGGUUACAAUUCACAGUUUCACACGCACAACAUACUGUAUUUUGUUUACCCUCGAAACUCGUUACGCCUGUUAGUCUAUGGCAGAGACAUAUUCCCGUUUUAUGAUACAAUAGUAAAAUUUGAAAGUUUGAUAAAAGUUUAA